GACCGCGUGGUGUGUCUUCGUUCUUUUGCGAGCUUCGUCGCUGCUGUGAGAGUCGUGGGAGGAAGGUUUUCUGCCAUUGCCAUGUGGAAUCCCACCUCAAAAAGCAGUAGGGGAUGUCAGUCUGCCUCUUCCGUCUUAAGGGUUGAGCUGCCCAAGAAACAACCAAAGGGAGCCAGAAGCUGUCCUCCAAGAUGAGCAGUUGUGAUUGAAAUGGCACCCUGGCUGGAAAGAUUUAAAAUCAGACUGGAGAUGAGUUACUAAAGUUGAGAAACGAAAGUAGAAGAUCUUAAGAGGUUUAGAAGAGAAGAAUAUGCUUCCAAGAUGCACCUCAGAAGUAGGAUUGUACAGAUAUUACUACAACUUGAUGCGCUCAAAGACUACUGGAAGUAUCCACUUUUCUCUUGAGCGCCUCUGGAGACCUACAUAUUGGGGCACAGAGAGAUUCUGUCCUGCAUUAUUGUGGAACUAAACUUACAGGCCAACUUCUGUUCUCUUUGUUGUAUACAAUCACUGAAAGCGCCAAGUUUCAAAAUCCCUGUAGAUGGCAUUCCCUCAGGGAAGGGAUCUUUAACAAGCCCUCUUGCACCUCUCCUAAAACAGGCUGUCUCAAAGGUAUCCAGGUCCUGAGCCAUCUAGGGUUUUAGAAGUGACAACCAGUGCUUUGAAUUGUAGCCAGAAGCCAACUGGUUAGCCAGUACAGCUCCUAUAAUGUGGUUAGGGAGUGUUGAACCUAAAUAUGCCCCAAAUCUAUCAGAUGCUGUACUAACUGAAGGUUCUGUAUGGCCUUCAAGGGCAGCCCUAUGAAAAAUGAGUCGCCAGGAGGUGUCAAGGAAAGGAGUACCGGUCAAUAUGCAAAUGCACCUUAUAGUGAAACUGGUAUGUUAAAAGAGAAGCAGACUAUUCCAACCAUUUCCAGUUUCUCUUCCUUUUCUGUAACCCUUAAGAGUUUUUUUAUAUACGUAUGCCUGUUAUAUAAGCAACAAUUCUGCAGCUGUUUUAUAUGCAAUAAACUUGGUGUAAAAGGCUAAAUAAA